CCUACGGGUGGCAGCAGUGAGGAAUAUUGGUCAAUGGACGAGAGUCUGAACCAGCCAAGCCGCGUGAAGGAUGACUGCCCUAUGGGUUGUAAACUUCUUUUAUAUGGGAGUAAAAUGUUGCUCGUGAGGGAUCUUGUAUGUACGAUAAGAAUUUGGAUAGGCUAAGUUCGUGCCAGCAGCCGCGGUAAGAUGGAGGGUCGGUGCGUUAUCCGGAUUUAUUGGGUUUAAAGGGAACGGAGGUGGAUUGAUAAGUUAGAUGUGAAAGUUUGCGGCUCAACCGUAAAAUUGCAGUUGAAACUGUCGAACUUGAGUACAGUAGAGGAGGGUGGAAUUCGUGGUGUAGCGGUGGAAUGCUUAGAUAUAACGAAGAACACCGGUGGCGAAGGCAGCUCACUGGACUGCAACUGACGCUGAGGCUCGAAAGUAUGGGUAGCGAACAGGAUUAGAUACCCGUGUAGUC
rnacentral:rRNA from 1 species